UCGGGGUGGAUUAGUGGCGAACGGGUGAGUAACACGUGGGCAAUCUGCCCUGCACUCUGGGACAAGCCCUGGAAACGGGGUCUAAUACCGGAUAUGACCGUCCAUCGCAUGGUGGAUGGUGUAAAGCUCCGGCGGUGCAGGAUGAGCCCGCGGCCUAUCAGCUAGUUGGUGAGGUAGUGGCUCACCAAGGCGACGACGGGUAGCCGGCCUGAGAGGGCGACCGGCCACACUGGGACUGAGACACGGCCCAGACUCCUACGGGAGGCAGCAGUGGGGAAUAUUGCACAAUGGGCGAAAGCCUGAUGCAGCGACGCCGCGUGAGGGAUGACGGCCUUCGGGUUGUAAACCUCUUUCAGCAGGGAAGAAGCGAAAGUGACGGUACCUGCAGAAGAAGCGCCGGCUAACUACGUGCCAGCAGCCGCGGUAAUACGUAGGGCGCAAGCGUUGUCCGGAAUUAUUGGGCGUAAAGAGCUCGUAGGCGGCUUGUCACGUCGGUUGUGAAAGCCCGGGGCUUAACCCCGGGUCUGCAGUCGAUACGGGCAGGCUAGAGUUCGGUAGGGGAGAUCGGAAUUCCUGGUGUAGCGGUGAAAUGCGCAGAUAUCAGGAGGAACACCGGUGGCGAAGGCGGAUCUCUGGGCCGAUACUGACGCUGAGGAGCGAAAGCGUGGGGAGCGAACAGGAUUAGAUACCCUGGUAGUCCACGCCGUAAACGGUGGGCACUAGGUGUGGGCAACAUUCCA
rnacentral:rRNA from 1 species